CCGGCGAUGUCCGAAUGGGGAAACCCAGUGCAAUUCGUUGCACUAUCGUUAACUGAAUACAUAGGUUAACGAGGCGAACCGGGGGAACUGAAACAUCUAAGUACCCCGAGGAAAAGAAAUCAACCGAGAUUCCCCCAGUAGCGGCGAGCGAACGGGGAGCAGCCCAGAGUCUGAAUCAGCUUGUGUGUUAGUGGAACGGUCUGGAAAGUCCGACGGUACAGGGUGAUAGUCCCGUACACCAAAAUGCACAGGUUGUGAACUCGAAGAGUAGGGCGGGACACGUGGUAUCCUGUCUGAAUAUGGGGGGACCAUCCUCCAAGGCUAAAUACUCCUGACUGACCGAUAGUGAACCAGUACCGUGAGGGAAAGGCGAAAAGAACCCCGGCGAGGGGAGUGAAAAAGAACCUGAAACCGUGUACGUACAAGCAGUGGGAGCACCUUUAUGGUGUGACUGCGUACCUUUUGUAUAAUGGGUCAGCGACUUAUAUUCUGUAGCAAGGUUAACCGUAUAGGGGAGCCGCAGGGAAACCGAGUCUUAACUGGGCGUUAAGUUGCAGGGUAUAGACCCGAAACCCGGUGAUCUAGCCAUGGGCAGGUUGAAGGUUGGGUAACACUAACUGGAGGACCGAACCGACUAAUGUUGAAAAAUUAGCGGAUGACUUGUGGCUGGGGGUGAAAGGCCAAUCAAACCGGGAGAUAGCUGGUUCUCCCCGAAAGCUAUUUAGGUAGCGCCUCGUGAACUCAUCUUCGGGGGUAGAGCACUGUUUCGGCUAGGGGGUCAUCCCGACUUACCAACCCGAUGCAAACUACGAAUACCGAAGAAUGUUAUCACGGGAGACACACGGCGGGUGCUAACGUCCGUCGUGAAGAGGGAAACAACCCAGACCGCCAGCUAAGGUCCCAAAGUCAUGGUUAAGUGGGAAACGAUGUGGGAAGGCACAGACAGCCAGGAUGUUGGCUUAGAAGCAGCCAUCAUUUAAAGAAAGCGUAAUAGCUCACUGGUCGAGUCGGCCUGCGCGGAAGAUGUAACGGGGCUAAACCAUGCACCGAAGCUGCGGCAGCGACACUAUGUGUUGUUGGGUAGGGGAGCGUUCUGUAAGCCUGCGAAGGUGACCUGUGAGGGUUGCUGGAGGUAUCAGAAGUGCGAAUGCUGACAUAAGUAACGAUAAAGCGGGUGAAAAGCCCGCUCGCCGGAAGACCAAGGGUUCCUGUCCAACGUUAAUCGGGGCAGGGUGAGUCGACCCCUAAGGCGAGGCCGAAAGGCGUAGUCGAUGGGAAACAGGUUAAUAUUCCUGUACUUGGUGUUACUGCGAAGGGGGGACGGAGAAGGCUAUGUUAGCCGGGCGACGGUUGUCCCGGUUUAAGCAUGUAGGCUGGUUAUCCAGGCAAAUCCGGAUAAUCAAGGCUGAGGUGUGAUGACGAGGCACUACGGUGCUGAAGUAACAAAUGCCCUGCUUCCAGGAAAAGCCUCUAAGCAUCAGGUAACACGAAAUCGUACCCCAAACCGACACAGGUGGUCAGGUAGAGAAUACCAAGGCGCUUGAGAGAACUCGGGUGAAGGAACUAGGCAAAAUGGUGCCGUAACUUCGGGAGAAGGCACGCUGGUGUGUAGGUGAAGCCCCUGCGGGUGGAGCUGAGACCAGUCGAAGAUACCAGCUGGCUGCAACUGUUUAUUAAAAACACAGCACUGUGCAAACACGAAAGUGGACGUAUACGGUGUGACGCCUGCCCGGUGCCGGAAGGUUAAUUGAUGGGGUUAUCCGUAAGGAGAAGCUCUUGAUCGAAGCCCCGGUAAACGGCGGCCGUAACUAUAACGGUCCUAAGGUAGCGAAAUUCCUUGUCGGGUAAGUUCCGACCUGCACGAAUGGCGUAAUGAUGGCCAGGCUGUCUCCACCCGAGACUCAGUGAAAUUGAACUCGCUGUGAAGAUGCAGUGUACCCGCGGCAAGACGGAAAGACCCCGUGAACCUUUACUAUAGCUUGACACUGAACAUUGAGCCUUGAUGUGUAGGAUAGGUGGGAGGCUUUGAAGCGUGGACGCCAGUCUGCGUGGAGCCAACCUUGAAAUACCACCCUUUAAUGUUUGAUGUUCUAACGUUGGCCCCUUACCGGGGUUGCGGACAGUGUCUGGUGGGUAGUUUGACUGGGGCGGUCUCCUCCCAAAGCGUAACGGAGGAGCACGAAGGUUAGCUAAUCCUGGUCGGACAUCAGGAGGUUAGUGCAAUGGCAUAAGCUAGCUUGACUGCGAGCGUGACGGCGCGAGCAGGUGCGAAAGCAGGUCAUAGUGAUCCGGUGGUUCUGAAUGGAAGGGCCAUCGCUCAACGGAUAAAAGGUACUCCGGGGAUAACAGGCUGAUACCGCCCAAGAGUUCAUAUCGACGGCGGUGUUUGGCACCUCGAUGUCGGCUCAUCACAUCCUGGGGCUGAAGUAGGUCCCAAGGGUAUGGCUGUUCGCCAUUUAAAGUGGUACGCGAGCUGGGUUUAGAACGUCGUGAGACAGUUCGGUCCCUAUCUGCCGUGGGCGCUGGAGAAUUGAGGGGGGCUGCUCCUAGUACGAGAGGACCGGAGUGGACGCAUCACUGGUGUUCGGGUUGUCAUGCCAAUGGCACUGCCCGGUAGCUAAAUGCGGAAGAGAUAAGUGCUGAAAGCAUCUAAGCACGAAACUUGCCCCGAGAUGAGUUCUCCCUGAGACUUUAAGUCUCCUGAAGGAACGUU
rnacentral:rRNA from 1 species